rnacentral:lncRNA from 1 species
AAAAAAAGAGGAGAACGAAAGGGAGUAAGAUUUUGGGGUAAAAGGAAAACUGAAAAAGAAGAAGAGAACUAGAAAGAGUAACAAGAAAAAAAGGAAAGGAAGGAAUUGGGCAAGAAUUAAAAAGGAAAACUGAAAAGUAGCAAAAGAAGAAGAAGGAUAUUUGGGACAAAGAAGAGAUCAGCCGCCAAUUCUAAAAUCUAUUCAGGUUCGGAUCUGACCGGAAAAGAGAAAUUCCGGUGACCUCCAUUAACGUCGAUGAAAUCGCGUUUUGUCUCUCGAUGCUGUAAUCACCAUUUCCAACACCCUUAACAGUCCAAAUGAUUCUCCAAAUAGUUGCGCUUGUUGCUUGAGUUCAGCACUUUCUACCUUUUGUUUUAAUUUCGAGAUCCUGCUGGAGAUGUCACCGUUUGAGGUUGCUUUUUGAGGUUCUGUCCGAAGCUUCAUCGGUUUGUACCGGUCGAGGUUGCGUCUAGUUGAGUUUCUUUUGAGAUUCAAAGUCUAAAGGCAUAUAACGAAGAUAUUAACAAUCUUGAUAAGAAACUUGAUCAUCUAAAGAAUCAAUUUGAGGUACAAUUAUGUUUUAAUUUUUACUCUAGCUUGUUUCAAGUAGAUUUUGUCUAUGUACAGUAAUAUGGUGCCAGCAUCAAUGCAGACAUCAUUUCUGGUUUUGGAUUUCAAGAUGUCCAGUAAUGUUUUAUCAAAAGAGUUAAAAUAUAAACUUACGAAUUAUUAAAUAUUUGGAAAAUCUAAAUAGAUAAUACUUUUGUUUUUAC